rnacentral:ncRNA from 1 species
AGAAGGUGCCUCAGAGGUUAAACGGGAAACUGGUGAAUACAUAGUCCAGUACUGCCCUCGCAACGGUAAAUAGAAGACUUUUAACAUAUGUCACUGUGUAAAUGGGAAGGCGUUAAAAGUUAUACAUUCUUAAGUCCGGAUACCGGCCUAAAAUUAAA